UACGUAGGUGGCAAGCGUUUGUCCGGAUUUACUGGGCGUAAAGAGCGCGCAGGCGGUCGUUCAAGUCGCGUGUGAAAGCCCCCGGCUCAACUGGGAGGGUCACGCGAUACUGAUCGACUCGAAGGCAGGAGAGGGAAGUGGAAUUCCCGGUGUAGUGGUGAAAUGCGUAGAUAUCGGGAGGAACACCAGUGGCGAAGGCGACUUCCUGGCCUGUUCUUGACGCUGAGGCGCGAAAGCUAGGGGAGCAAACGGG
rnacentral:rRNA from 1 species